rnacentral:misc_RNA from 1 species
UGUAGGAGCCGGCUUGCUGGCGAAGGCGUCCGUUUUGGCGAUAAAUGUGUCGACUGACCCACCGCCAUCGCCAGCAAGCCGGCUCCUACA